AUCACCAAUUACGUGCAACGACCGUUCAUCCAUAUGUCUUGGGAAAAAGAAGGGAGCAAGAGUCGCCAUGUUGAUUUCCAGUGUGUCAAAACCAAAGUGGGUACUCAUGUGAUCGGAGCAGUAGACGAACCGGCUGCCCUUGCUGCCGUCUCUGGCAGUGAUAGUGUACCGCCACCUCCACAAGUUCUGCUGGGAUCUGAACCUGAAGACUGAACGGCCCCCGAGGUACCGCUGGGCUUCGCAGAAUAACUGGAUGAAUGUAGGUAUAUAGAUCACCUAAGUCGACUCGCAUUUUUUAGAUGCGCGAUUAAGCUCAUUUUCUCACAGCUUGUCAACGAGAUGUGUUCGUUUGUUCCCAGCUGUUCACAAGUUUGGAACAAGUUGGUAUCAACUUGUAACAAGGUUGAUGAGGCCAACAGACUCGCAAUUACAUAAGUAAAAAUACACAAGUUGUUACAGGUCUGCGCGAACAAGUCGUUACAAAUCUGCUCACAAGCUGUCGACAAGUUGUGUUCGCACUGCUUGUUCCCAGUUGUUGUAACAAGUUUGGAACAAGGUGUUAACAACUUGUAACAAGCUUGAUGGCAUUAUCAGAUUUGGUACAAGGUUGUUCUAACAAGUCUGAUACAGUCAUGAUAUAACAAGAAUGUUACAAGGUUGUUCUAACAAGUCUGAUACAGUCAUGAUAUAACAAGAAUGUUACAAGGUUGUUCUAACAAGUCUGAUACAGUCAUGAUAUAACAAGAACGUUACAAGGUUGUUCUAACAAGUCUGAUACAGUCAUGAUAUAACAAGAAUGUUACAAGGUUGUUCUAACAAGUCUGAUACAGUCAUGAUAUAACAAGAAUGUUACAAGGUUGCUCUAACAAGUCUGAUACAGUCAUGAUAUAACAAGAAUGUUACAAGGUUGUUCUAACAAGUCUGAUACAGUCAUGAUAUAACAAGAAUGUUACAAGGUUGUUCUAACAAGUCUGAUACAGUCAUGAUAUAACAAGAAUGUUACAAGGUUGUUCUAACAAGUCUCAUACAGUCAUGAUAUAACAAGAAUGUUACAAGAUUGUUCUAACAAGUCUGAUACAGUCUGAUAUAACAAGAAUGUUACAAGGUUGUUCUAACAAGUCUGAUACAGUC
rnacentral:lncRNA from 1 species